CUAUAAACAUGGAGUUUAAUAUUGGUCAUAGCCAUCCAGUUCAGUCAGAAGCAACGCAGUAGCACCAGAGAAUCAGAUUCUGAGACGUGUCAUCUCGGUGCUGAGGAAUGUGCAUUGGAGGCAGUGCUGGAGGUGACACUGUUUGUUGCUCAAGUAUGGCUGGUUAUGGUUAUGAAGCAUGCUGCGCCUGCUUCAUCCAUGGACAGAUGCUCACUAUGCCUGCACUGACUCUUCUUGCUGCUGCAGUUCUCCCUUUGGCUCUGCCAGCAGAUGUGUCACUGUUCUCAAACCUGCACCCCUCCCAGAUCAGGAGAUGUGAGGAGCAGGCUUGGAGCUUUAGACAAGAAUUGAAUGUUCUAAACCAAAAAUCACUCUCUUGGCAACUGUUGUACAAGUAUAGCCAAUGCAUGAAAUAUCUUCUCUGACUCCUCCUGCAUCUGACUUUUCCUUUUUGAUGUCUCUGAAGCCACGUCUGUUUGACAAGGCUAAGCUGCUUGAUGCAUAUCUUACUCCCCUAGCCAACAGAAGUGCAGAAAAUGGGUGCUUCAGUAGAGUCAGUAGGCAGUGUCAGAUGAAAGACACACUUCUUCCUGCAAUUCUAGCCAACAGUGCUUGCUGAAAGAAAAAUAUAGCUCAAGAGAAGUGUAUGUGAUAUUUCUUCCUCCAUCCAGCACUCAGCUGCAGUUCCCUGUGCACCUUAAGGCAGUGAUCGUUUGCCAGAGCAUACACGGAUGGGAAAAAAUAUCACUGGAAAUAGCUGAAGCUGUGAUAUUUAUCUUAAGACAGAGAGGAGUUCUACUAGAGGCCUGAUGCAGGCUUCUCAAUCUCUCUCCAUCCAGGCAUGCAGGUGGGCUUCGCCUGGCCACAUUCUCCAGCCACGCACUGCACACCCAGCAGGCACGCACGGAGCUCAGCCAGGAGAACCCAUGCGAUGGUGGUGUGUGGGAUGCCAGAUUCCUACCAGGUCAGAGACAGGUCAGGAGUGAGAAAAUGCAGAAGAAAUGCAGCCCAACUCAUUCCACAGGCCCACUGUCACGCUGCUGUUGAGUCUGUGUGUGUGUGUGUGUGUUGCAAUUACGGUGCAGAGCCCACCAAGUGUAUCUGAAGAGCCGGCUUGGUCCCUGGUAAAGGAAUGUUCCCAGACGUGCUGCAGAGACUUUGCCUCUCGUGUGAUAUGUACAGCAUUUCUUUCCCUUUGUUCCAGAAAGGAGCAUUUGGCUUAUGGUUACUUGGACGCGUUGCAAAAAAAUAAAGCAUUGCAUUAUGAGAAAGGGAGCCA
rnacentral:lncRNA from 1 species